GUGGAUUAGAUACCCUAGUAGUCCACGCCCUAAACGUUGAUUACUCGUUGUUGGCGAUACACUGUCAGCGACUAAGCGAAAGCGUUAAGUAAUCCACCUGGGGAGUACGACCGCAAGGUUGAAACUCAAAGGAAUUGACGGGGGCCCGCACAAGCGGAGGAGCAUGUGGUUUAAUUCGAUGAUACGCGAGGAACCUUACCUGGGCUUGAAUGUUAGUGACCGGCUGGGAAACCAGUCUUCUCUUCGGAGCACAAAACAAGGUGCUGCAUGGCCGUCGUCAGAU
rnacentral:rRNA from 1 species